UACGGAGGAGGCAAGCGUUAUCCGGAAUUAUUGGGCGUAAAGAGCUCGUAGGCGGUCUGUCGCGUCGGAUGUGAAAGCCCGGGGCUUAACCCCGGGUCUGCAUUCGAUACGGGCAGACUAGAGUGUGGUAGGGGAGAUCGGAAUUCCUGGUGUAGCGGUGAAAUGCGUAGAUAUCAGGAAGAACACCCGUGGCUAAGGCGGCUCUCUAGUACGGUACUGACGCUGAGACGCGAAAGCGUGGGGAGCGAACAGG
rnacentral:rRNA from 1 species